GACGGAGGGUGCUAGCGUUGUUCGGAAUGACUGGGCGUAAAGGGCGCGUAGGCGGCUCGUGAAGUCGGGUGUGAAAGCCCGGGGCUCAACCCCGGAACGGCAUCCGAUACUGGCGGGCUUGAGACCGGGAGAGGAGGGUGGAAUACCUAGUGUAGAGGUGAAAUUCGUAGAUAUUAGGAAGAACACCGGUGGCGAAGGCGGCCCACUGGAUCGGUACUGACGCUGAGGUGCGAAAGCGUGGGGAGCAAACAGG
rnacentral:rRNA from 1 species